AUUGAACGCUGGCGGAAUGCUUUACACAUGCAAGUCGAACGGCAGCACGGGUGCUUGCACCUGGUGGCGAGUGGCGAACGGGUGAGUAACAUAUCGGAACGUGCCCAGUAAUGGGGGAUAACUAACCGAAAGGUUAGCUAAUACCGCAUACGCCCUGAGGGGGAAAGCGGGGGAUCGUAAGACCUCGCGUUAUUGGAGCGGCCGAUAUCUGAUUAGCUUGUUGGUGGGGUAAAGGCCUACCAAGGCGACGAUCAGUAGCAGGUCUGAGAGGAUGAUCUGCCACACUGGAACUGAGACACGGUCCAGACUCCUACGGGAGGCAGCAGUGGGGAAUUUUGGACAAUGGGGGAAACCCUGAUCCAGCCAUUCCGCGUGAGUGAAGAAGGCCUUCGGGUUGUAAAGCUCUUUCGGCAGGGAAGAAACGGUUCUGGAUAAUACCCGGAGCUAAUGACGGUACCUGAAGAAGAAGCACCGGCUAACGACGUGCCAGCCGCCGCCGUAA
rnacentral:rRNA from 1 species